AGGGCCUGUUUCCACACUGGAUCAUUCUAACUCAGCAGAACUGGCAGCAUCUCUGGAGGGAAGGAAUGGG